CCCGCCCUUUGCCCUGCCUCCCACCCAGACCGAGCCGGCCCGGCGGCGGGGAGGUCUGGGCAGCCGUUCCCACCUCUGGGCGGCGGCGGGGAGGAAGGGAGGCCAGAGUUUGCGUCCUCUGGUGAAGAGGGUGGGAGGCCCAGGAGGAAUCGCGAUCUGAACAAAGACCACUACCUGCGCGGUGACCCCCUCCAGGGCAGGGGGCUGCCCGGGGCCCCAAACCCGCAGUUUCUUUCCCACACAGAAUUCCUGGCCCCGGACCCUCGUACACUACGGGAAGCCUCCGCGUCCGGGGAAGCUGGGGUCUAGAGAAAGCACCUCGGGGAAGGAGGGGGAAGGAGGGCGUCUGCCAGGCUGUGCGCUGAGCGCGGCGCCGGGCAAGGCGGCCGCCAGCAAGUAGGUGCCGCACAGGGGAGCGCGGAGGAGCUCUGGGAAGGCCGGAGUUCCAGGAGGAGCUGGUCAGGGAGCCGAGUGUGGUCUAAGUAGCGCCCUCCAGCCUGGGGCAGGAGAUUUAGUCACCACGCCAGAGCAGAGAGCAUUUUAACUUUGGGAGUCUAACUUAAAGGAUCCGUCCUCUGGCCAUGGAGAAACUGCAUUUCCAAGAGUGUUCUUAUUCCGACAGCAAUUGACUCCAGCAGUCUUUUCGGAGAAGAAGCAAUCCCACAGUUCGCCCUUAUACUUCUGGAAAUAGGCUAAGACAGACAAACGUCCUGAGAGCUUAACCCAUUUGGAGCAAAAAGAGGAUCAGAUUCCCAACUAUUGUUAGACUGGUCUCCUGAUGUGACCAAAAAACAUGUUCCCUGGAAGGUGGAGACCAAGAGAGAGUGCUCCAACUUGGUCACAAGUCAAGUUCUCAAGGACAUAAAACAAGAUGGGAGGGAAACUCAGGUAGUGCCUGUCUUCAUAACAGAACACAGAAUCACAAAGGCAGAGGGAAGACUGUUUCUGGGAGGAAGGGAUUGAAUACUAUGACGAUAUACACAGUACCGAGAAGUACACCAAAGUCACCGCCCCCAGGCUGGCCACAAAAAUCCUUUCUUCCCAUUAAUCAAAACCUUGCAGAGUAGACAAACAAUAUUGUUUUUUGCCAUUUACUCAACAACCAAUUUGCACACACAGAGAGAGGUUGGGAGCCUGACUGGUAAAAUAAAAUUUCUUACUCAGUUGCCAUCA